rnacentral:rRNA from 1 species
AACGAACGCUGGCGGCAUGCCUAACACAUGCAAGUCGAACGAGACCUUCGGGUCUCGUGGCGCACGGGUGCGUAACGCGUGGGAACCUGCCCUUAGGUUCGGAAUAACUCCCCGAAAGGGGUGCUAAUACCGGAUAAUGUCUUCGGACCACAGAUUUGUCGCCUUUGGAUGGGCCCGCGUUGGAUUAGCCAGUUGGUAGGGUAAAAGCCUAUCAAGGCGACGAUCCAUAGCUGGUCUGAGAGGAUGAUCAGCCACACUGGGACUGAGACACGGCCCAGACUCCUACGGGAGGCGGCAGAGGGGAAUAUUGGACAAUGGGCGAAAGCCUGAUCCAGCAAUGCCGGGUGAGUGAUGAAGGCCGUAGGGUUGUAAAGCUCGUUUACCCGGGAUGAUAAUGACGGUACCGGGAGAAUAAGCACCGGCUAACUCCGUG